AACGAACGCUGGCGGCGUGGAUAAGACAUGCAAGUCGAACGGAUUUUGCGCUGUAGCAAUACAGUGCAGAGUCAGUGGCGCAAGGGUGCGUAACACGUGGGCAAUCUGCCCUGGGGUGUGGGAUAGCCCGCCGAAAGGCGGAUUAAUACCGCAUAUGGCUACUCAACGAUUGUUGGGGACGCUAAAGGAGGUNCAAGCUUCCGCUCCGGGAUGGGGCCCNGGCCUAUCAGCUAGUUGGUGAGGUAACGGCCCACCAAGGCUUUGACGGGUAGCUGGUCCUGAGAGGACGACCAGCCACACUGGAACUGAGACACGGUCCAGACACC
rnacentral:rRNA from 1 species